rnacentral:rRNA from 1 species
UACGUAGGGGGCAAGCGUUGUCCGGAUUUAUUGGGCGUAAAGAGCGUGUAGGCGGUUUGGUAGGUCCGUUGUGAAAACUCGAGGCUCAACCUCGAGACGCCGAUGGAAACCAUCAGACUAGAGUCCGGAAGAGGAGAGUGGAAUUCCUGGUGUAAGCGGUGAAAUGCGCAGAUAUCAGGAGGAACACCAAUGGCGAAGGCAGCACUCUGGGACGGUACUGACGCUGAGACGCGAAAGCGUGGGGAGCAAACAGG